rnacentral:rRNA from 1 species
UACGGAGGGUGCAAGCGUUAUCCGGAUUCACUGGGUUUAAAGGGUGCGUAGGUGGAUUGGUAAGUCAGUGGUGAAAUCUCCGGGCUUAACCCGGAAACUGCCAUUGAUACUAUCAGUCUUGAAUACCGUGGAGGUCAGUAGAAAUAUGUCAUGUAGCGGUGAAAUGCUUAGAUAUGACAUAGAAUACCAAUUGCGAAGGCAGCUGGCUACACGAAUAUUGACACUCAGGCACGAAAGCGUGGGGAUCAAACAGG